GACGAACGCUGGCGGUAUGCUUAACACAUGCAAGUCGAACGAGAAGUCUUUUAUUGAACCUUCGGGGGAUAUAAGAGACAGACAGUGGCGAACGGGUGAGUAACGCGUGGGCAACCUACCUAUCGGAGCGGGAUAGCCUCGAGAAAUCGGGAGUAAAACCGCAUAACACGGAUAUAUCGCAUGAUGAAUCCGUCAAAACUCCGGUGCCGAUAGAUGGGCCCGCGUCUGAUUAGCUAGUUGGUAAGGUAAGGGCUUACCAAGGCAACGAUCAGUAGCCGGUCUGAGAGGGCGAACGGCCACACUGGAACUGAGACACGGUCCAGACUCCUACGGGAGGCAGCAGUGGGGAAUAUUGCGCAAUGGGGGCAACCCUGACGCAGCAAUACCGCGUGAGUGAAGAAGGUUUUCGGAUCGUAAAAGCUCUGUAUGGGGAA
rnacentral:rRNA from 1 species